UCCGAUAUAGUGUAAUGGCUAACAUGCCUCGUUCUCGUCGAGGAGCUCUGGGUUCGACUCCUUGUGCCGGAA